GACCAUAUAGCGCAGUUGGUUAGCGCGUCGGCCUGUCAAGCCGAAGGUCGCGGGUUCGAGCCCCGUUAUGGUCG
rnacentral:tRNA from 2 species